rnacentral:lncRNA from 10 species
GGAAGGUGGCAUGAGAGAAAGGAAGAUGAUGCUGUGAUUUCUGGUAGCGAGAAUGCCAGCAAACAGGGAGAAGCAGCCCUGUUUGUUCCCUGGGCUACGCUCCAAACAUGCUGUCCUGCUGACCUCCCAACAAUCCCAGGGUCUGCUUCCUGGGAAGCCCAACCUAAGACCAGCUGUUACUCAACAGGAAACUUUCAGAACGACAAGAAUAAUGCCUUCCUUCACUAUGUGCAUACAACCUCCAGGAAAAUAAAAUAAAAUAGUGUAAGAGUGAUUAUCUUCUGAAAUGAUGCCAUGUUAUAGCUAUUAUCGUGUUAAACAUUAGUUUAUUUAUUACUCAAGUGAAUUUGCAAUAGAUUCAUUAUAAGACUAUAGGCUCAAUUAAUAAGUCAAGUAUGAUCAUUUACUAUUGG